AAUAGCCUACGGGAGGCAGCAGUAGGGAAUAUUGCUCAAUGGGGGAAACCCUGAAGCAGCAACGCCGCGUGGAGGAUGAAGGUUUUCGGAUUGUAAACUCCUUUUGUUAGAGAAGAUAAUGACGGUAUCUAACGAAUAAGCACCGGCUAACUCCGUGCCAGCAGCCGCGGUAAUACGGAGGGUGCAAGCGUUACCCGGAAGCACUGGGCGUAAAGAGCGCGUAGGCGGGAUAGCAAGUCAGAUGGGAAAUCCUAUGGCUUAACCAUAGAAAUGCAUUUGAAACUGUUAUUCUAGAGAAUGGGAGG
rnacentral:rRNA from 1 species